rnacentral:rRNA from 1 species
GUUUACAGCCCUACCACCCUGAACACACCCUAUCACAUCUGGGUUCCAAAGCUAAGCAGGGUCAGGCCUAGUUAGUAUAUGGAUGGAAGACAGAUCUUCAGAAGAGACUGCUCAGAGACAAGCAGUUUGGAGACC